UUUCAAAACUCUUGCUGGGUUUUGCCUAAGAUUCGAAGCCUAAAGCUCUGAAUUCUGACCUCCCUGAUUACUGACUGAGGAAACAAUAUCCCCAAAAUGGAAAGCUCCAGGUCUGUGUGCUUAGAUUUAGGCUCCAAGGACUGAACACCCUGCAUGUAAGGUGUGUGUCUAAGCAGUAUUUAUGACAUAACAAACCAGCCAAGAGCUGGAGGUUCUGAUCAGCAAAUAAGGAAGGAACAACAUCUGACAUCUUUACCCACUUUAACUCAUCAAGCAAAGAACUUGUAAUACGCUGAAUGCUGCAUAGAAGGUUUUGAAACUACUUACCUGCUGUGGAACACCUGUAUAACUUUAAAAUGCAUCAAUCAAUCUCGAGAGUAUGAUCAUGCUUCCUGCUUUUAAGGAUCUGAAGUUAACUGCAACUCCAAGUAUACAAGACUUCUUUGGGACCCAUGGAAGCAUCUCUACAUGCUCAUGUUUGCCAGAUUCAGUGGCCUCCUGAAACCUGGCCCUAGCUAAUAAGUUAAAAAGCUCUAAGUAAUCCCGAGCUGCAUUUGAAUCUCCAAGAUCACUUGUUCAUGGGUUGGUAAUACUUUAAAGAGCCAUUUGUUUAACUGCUAAUCUGGAUCUUAUAUUCUGAGCCCCAGCUUUUUUCUAAAGCAAAGAAAAUACAAAAUAAAAGUAAGACCAAAUGCCUUUGUACCAUGGAGAGAGAAAUGACUCAUUGGAAUGCUUCUGUUUUUCAUCACAUCAAAGAUGCAUCAACAUAAAUCAACCAUUAUAUCAUGCACCAUGAUAAAAAAGGGGGAUAAAAGUCCCCAAACCACUGCCAAUUAAACCAACACAGUGCCUUUGUAUUAUUCAGAAUUUUUAUCUUAGCCUUAUUGAAAGAGCUUUUUUAGAACAUAUUUAAACAAUUCUGUCAUAUUUCAUUCUUGCAUACUCAUUAAAAAGGAAAAUAUGAGAGAUACAAAUGAAAGGUUUCCAAAAGUUUCCUCUCAUUCAGAAUCCAAUUCUUCAGAAUUAUUUUGCAACCCAGACUCUUUGAUGUCCUCGUUUUCCCACCAAAUAUGUUAUCAAGAGCAUGGUAGGGCAGAGUUUCUUAGAAGAAGGCAAUGUUAUUGUCAUUGAACACUGGCACUCAUCCUACAAGUUUUGAUUUUGGCCUCUUUUUUUCUGUGGGGUGGGGGGCAGGGUCUCGCUCUGUUGCCCAGGCUGGAGUGCAGUGGCACAGUCAUGGAUCACUGCAGCCUUGGCCUCCUGGGCUCAAGUCGUCCUCCCACCUCAGCCUCCCAAGUAGCUGAGACCGCAAGUGUGUGCUAUGUUUUUAUUUUUUUACUUUUAUUUUUUUAAUUUUAUUUAUUUACUGUUUAUUUAUUUAUUUAUUUUUGAGACAGGGUCUCACUCUGUCACCCAGGCUGGAGUGCACUGGUGUGAUCUGGGCUCACUGCAACCUCCACCUCCUGGGUUCAAGCAUUUCUCCUGCCUCAACCUCCUGAGUAGCUGGGAGUACAGGAUUGCACCACCAUGCCCAGCUAAUUUUUGUAUUUCAGUAGAGACAGGAUUUCACCAUGUUGGCCAGGCUGGUCUCGAACUCCUAGCCUCAAGUGAUCCGCGCACCUUGGACUCCCAAAGUUCUGGGAUUACAGGCGUGAACCACCAGGCCCGCCCUAAUUUUUUCAUUUUUUUUAUAGAAAUGGGGUCUCACUGUGUUGCCUAAGCUGGUCU
rnacentral:lncRNA from 1 species